CAAGCGGUGGAGCAUGUGGUUUAAUUCGAUGCAACGCGAAGAACCUUACCUGGUCUUGACAUCCACAGAACUUGGCAGAGAUGCCUUGGUGCCUUCGGGAACUGUGAGACAGGUGCUGCAUGGCUGUCGUCAGCUCGUGUUGUGAAAUGUUGGGUUAAGUCCCGCAACGAGCGCAACCCUUAUCCUUUGUUGCCAGCGGUCCGGCCGGGAACUCAAAGGAGACUGCCAGUGAUAAACUGGAGGAAGGUGGGGAUGACGUCAAGUCAUCAUGGCCCUUACGACCAGGGCUACACACGUGCUACAAUGGCAUAUACAAAGAGAAGCGACCUCGCGAGAGCAAGCGGACCUCAUAAAGUAUGUCGUAGUCCGGAUUGGAGUCUGCAACUCGACUCCAUGAAGUCGGAAUCGCUAGUAAUCGUGGAUCAGAAUGCCACGGUGAAUACGUUCCCGGGCCUUGUACACACCGCCCGUCACACCAUGGGAGUGGGUUGCAAAAGAAGUAGGUA
rnacentral:rRNA from 1 species